GCCUCUACACAAUAACUGAUCGAUAGAUUUUAAGAAAAAAAAAAUUCCUUUUAGUUUGGUAUAUACUUCAACUCAACUAUGUCAGAUAAACAUAUACUCACAUAAUUAAUAUUAAUACAUAAUAAUUAUUCAUACAAGACUUAAAUACAACCUACCCCUCUGUAAAAAUACAACACUUUUCAACAUCAAGGGCGAGGGGAAAUAAACCCAAAAGCAACUAGCCAAACAAGCCUUCUAUUCGUCCGUAGCUUUUCAAUUAGCCAUCUUGUCUGUACCUCUAAAAAUGAUUUUUUUAAAAAACUUUGGAGUGAGAACAAAGCCACACGUUCUUAGUAGGGAAUGUGAAUGCCGCAAAAAAACAGAGUAAAUACAAAUAGCUAGCUCAUAUCACAAAAACAAUUUCACUUAAAACUGCUUUAAAUUCCUUUCUUUAAAUCACGUUACUUAAACAAAAUCCCAGUCACAUAAACAAUUCCUUAUCCAUAAACAACAUUCCUAAAUACAUUAUCAAGACCACAACACAAGUAAAGUAUCUAUAAAGCACACGGGCACAUCACCAAAAUAACAGCACAAUCACAAAUAAAUAAAAAUAAAGCAAACACAAUCAAAUGUAAAUGCGCAAACAAGAUGAUGCAUGCCUGUUCCUAGCGCAGACCAUGAGCUCAUGCGUUGGUUGUCUACCCGCAACCCGACGUUACUCGGAGUGAACUCCGAAUAUGGUCCCUUUACUGUGUCAAUUAGACACCUUGGCAUCACGGUUACCCGUGUCAAUUAGGCCUCAUUAUAAUAACAGUUCAAUGUGUAUCACAGUAAGGAACAGUGCUAUCAAUUAGGCGAACAUUCCCGCAUUAGCAAUCUCAGGCUAUCAAUUAGGCGGGCAAUUUCGCAUUAGCAGUUGGCACAAGGCCCAUUUAACAUACAAUUCUCAUUCAUUUAUUCCAUUCAUGACUUUUCAUUUUCUUUCAUUUCAUUAUACUGUUAUGGUUGCUCUAGUAUCCUUACUGUUAGGGCAGAAUUGAAUGUAGAAGAUAAGGGUAGAAGGAAAGAACAGAGUAACUGAACAGAGGAAGGAAUUAUCGAUGUGAUAAUUACCCCACUGACAGAAUAACUAUUAUAGAUUUAAAUGAAAGAAAAACAAGAAUAAUUGACUUUCGAGAGGUCAAUUCUCUCCUACUAGAUUUUCACUCCACUUAUUUCCUGCCUACUAGCUUUUCCAGCCUUCCUAUUUAUAAUAUCUACUCCUAUAACUACUGUCCUAAAGAUGUGGAGUUUCAAAAUUUAAAAUUCAUUUUGCUACUUUUUCUCCUCUCCUUUUAUAAGUAUACUUAAAAGGAGUUAAAUCCCUAUUAUCUCUCUGGUUUGUUGCAAUACCCCCCUCCCAUGAAGAGCCACCUUGUCCUCAAGGUGGAAAGAGGGAAAUGUUGUUUGUAAUGUUGCUGCUGACUCCCAAGUGUUCUCGAAAUCUAGCAGUUCUUUCCAUUUGAUAAGGACCUCAAGAUCUCCCUGAUUGUUGUAGCGGCUGUCAACGGCGUGUUCAGGUUCGACCAGCAAUUCCCCUUCUUCCGUGAGUGCUUCGGGUAAUGGUUGAGGAUGUAAGGAGGGUCCAACACUUUUCUUCAACUAGGAAAUAUGAAAAACAGGGUGUAUUCUUGCGGUGUCAGGCAAUUUCAGCCUGUAGGCCACUGCCCCAAUCCUUUCUAGCACCUCAAAAGGACCAUAAAACCUUGCACCCAACUUCUGAUUUGAUCUGGUCGCCAAGGACUUCAUCCGAUAUGGUUGAAGUUUGAGAUACACAAAGUCCCCUACUGCAAAAGACACAUCACGUCUUUUCUUGUCUGCACUUUGUCUCAUUCUGUUCUGAGCCUUAUUAAGUUGAAAUUGAAUUUCAUCCAGCAUCUGAUUUCGUUCCUCCAAUAAGACCCUCACUUCCUCCACUGAAGAUUCCAUCCCUCCUCGUAAUAAAGCUGGAGGUUCCCUGCCAUAUAACGCUCGAAAAGGUGUCAUCCGAAUAGAGCCAUGGUAUGAGGUAUUAUACCAAAACUCUGCCCAAGAAAGCCACGCUGGCCAUUGUUUAGGUUUAGCACCAGUUAAGCAUCGCAGGUAGGUUUCUAAGCAUUUAUUCACCGCCUCAGUUUGGCCGUCAGUCUGUGGGUGAUAGGCCAAGGACAUCUUCAAAGUAGUACCGGCCUGUUUAAAAACUUCAGUCCAGAAAGCACUCAUGAAUAUUUUGUCUCGAUCGGAGACAAUUGAAGAUGGAAUACCAUGGAGGCGUACCACUUCCUUAAUGAACAAAACAGCAACAUCCUUCGCCGUAAAGGGAUGUGAAAGUGGGAAGAAAUGAGCAUAUUUAGUCAUGCGAUCCACCACCACAAAUAUCGUAUCCAUCCCUUUGGCUUUGGGUAAUCCUCCUAUGAAAUCCGUUGAGAUGUCAGCCCAUACAUUGGAAGGAAUCGGCAGCGGUUGUAGGAGACCAGCAGGUUGCAAGGUAGAGUGCUUGUUCUGCUGACAAAUUUCACAGCUUUUAAUAAAGUUCAUCACUGCUGCCUUCAUACCCUCCCAGUAAAGGAUAGCAGAAAUCCUCUUGUAAGUUCUAAAGAAGCCCGAAUGGCCACCCAGCUUGGAGCUAUGAAAUUCCAUCAGAAUUUUUGGAAUCCAUUUAGAGGUUUUUGCAAGCACUAGCCUCCCUUUAUAUUUGAGUUUUCCAUUCAUUAAUGCAAAACCGGGUGUAGUUUCUUCCCCCAUCAAUAACUUCUGCAUAAUCCCAUUUAAUUUCUCAUCAGCCAAUACUUCAGCCUCCAUAUCAUCCCACUCUGCUGCCAUGGAAAAAGACAGGGAGGAGAAAUGAAAUUUCCUAGAAAGGGCAUCAGCCACCCUGUUCUCUGUCCCUGCCUUAUAUUUAAUGUCAAAAUUGUAUCCCAGUAACUUGGAUAACCAUUUCUGCUGGCCUUCAUCUGCGACUCGCUGAUCUAAUAAAAACUUCAAGGACUGUUGAUCAGUAAAAACCGUGAAUUGCUGUCCCAUGAGAUAGUGUUUCCAUUUUUGAACAGCUAGGACAAUUGCCAUCAACUCUCUUUCGUAGACAGAUUUCCGCUGGGCUGUUUCCGAGAGUUUUUGGCUCAUAAAAGCAAUUGGCCGACCCUCCUGCAUCAAGACAGCACCCACACCCUUUCCAGAGGUAUCGGUUUCCAGCUGGAAGGGUUUAGAAAAGCAAGGAACGGCUAAAACCGGAACUGAGACCAUAGCUGUUUUGAGCAUUUGAAAAGCAGAUUCAGCAUCCUUACCCCAAUUAAAAGAGUCCUUUUUGAGAAGUUGGGUGAGAGGAGCAGCAAUAGCACCAUACCCCUUUACAAAACGCCGAUAAUAUCCGGUUAAGCCCAAGAAACCCCUCAAGCUGCGAAUAUCUUUUGGUGGAGGCCAGUCAAGCAUAUCUCUGAGUUUCUUAGGAUCAGCCGCCACCCCUUCGGCAGAGAUAACGUGGCCAAGGUACUCAAUGCUCGUUGCUUCAAAACAGUACUUCUUUUUAUUUACCAAUAAACUGUGCUGUCUUAGUACCUCAAAAAUAUUCUGCAAAUGACCUCUGUGGCUAAUGAGAUCCUUGCUAUAAAUAAGGAUGUCAUCGAAGAAAACUAGAGCAAAUUUUCUGAGAAACGGACGAAGUACAGUGUUCAUGAGAGCUUGAAAAGUGGAUGGAGCAUUUGUGAGGCCAAAAGGCAUUACAAGGAAUUCGUAAUGGCCGUCGUGGGUGCGGAAAGCUGUCUUAUGAAUAUCCUCCUCCUUCAUUCGAAUUUGAUGAUAUCCGGAUUUGAGAUCCAAUUUGGAAAACACUGUUGCACCAUCGAGCUCAUCCAAUAGCUCCUCUAUAAUAGGAAUAGGAAAUUUGUCUGGCACCGUGAUCUUAUUGAGGGCCCUAUAGUCGACGCAAAACCGCCACCCACCAUCCUUUUUCUUUACCAGAAUUACCGGGCUCGAGAAGGGGCUUGUGCUGGGCCGAAUAAUCCCAAUCUGCAGUAUUUCAUCAAUUAUUUUUUUCAUUUCUGCCUUCUGAUAAUGUGGAUAUCUGUAAGGUCUAAUGUUUGGAAUCUCUGCACUGUCUUUUAAUACGAUAGCAUGGUCGUGAGUUCUUUGUGGAGGAAGACUAGAUGGGGACUGAAAGACAUCCUCAAAUCGCUGCAAAAUUGCCAAAGUGGCUGACGAAACAGAUAGUUGGGCUUCUGUAGAAUCGGCAAUGAACACAGGGGUUACGAGAAAGCCCUCUUCAUUAUUUCUCAGGGCAUUUAAAGUCACUUUUGCACUAGCUCGACUUCUCCCUAAAGAGGGAUCACCUUGCAAGGUCACCUUCUUCCCAUUCAACAUCCAGCUCAAGGAUAAGGCAUUAUAAUCCCCUUCAAAUUUGCCCAAACUAGCAAUCCACCUUGCACCCAAAACUACUUCAGAACGUCCCAAUUCCAUCACCAAGAAAUCCGCCACAAUAGAAAGUCCUUGUACCAAUAUUUCCACUUUUUCACAGCCCCCUAACCCUUGCUCGAUUGCUCCAUUUCCAACCUCAAUUCGGAAAGGAGGCAGGUGUACCAAUGGCAAACCCAGUAUAGAGACGAGAGAAGAUGAAAUAAAAUUUGCCUCAGCCCCUGGGUCAACCAAUACGACCACCUCAACACCGUUUAUAGUAGCUCGUACCUUCAAAGUUUGGUGUGAUGUAAGUCCCCAAUAACUUAGAGAAGAGAGACGAAGAGAAAGACUGUUAAUGGUCACUACAGGUUCCUCCGAGGCCGAAUCUUCGCAACAAUCCUCGGGUUGUUCCUCCUCCUCCCCCAAGAGAAUGAGUUGUUGAUGUCUGAACUUGCAUGCGUGGCCAGGAUUCCACUUGUCCCUGCAUCGGAAACAGAGACCUUUGCGCUGUCUCUCACUCCAUUCCUCAUGUGAAAUCCAUCGUGAUAAAGGCUUUGUUAUGUUAGUGGUGGAAGGAGCCGAGGAAGUAUUGGAUUCUAUUUUACUAUGUGGGAUGGGUGUGGGCUGUUUAGUUACUGAAGGGGAUUGUGAAGUGGGCUGAGCCCAAUUAUUGGACCUGGCCCCGCUCCAGCCCAGACGGUUAGUAUUUUCAUAUCGUCUUCCUCCUGGGUGCGUUCCUUCUUCACGCCACGCUUCAUUCCUCGACUCUAACAUCAUGGCCCUAUCCAUCAGCGCCUGGAGGUUUUCAAACUCGGCAACUCGCAUCUCCGCUUUGAUCGACGGUUUGAGUCCUUCAUGGAACAUGCACAACAAAGUAUCUCCUUCCAAAUGUCUAUGUGCCCUAGCCGCUAUCUCAAAGUCCCUCCGAUACUCCAUAACCGACCCAUGUUGUCUCACUUGCAAUAAUGGCGCAAGAGGAUUCGCAUCUGCACCUGGCUCAAAUCGUUUGAGCAAAUCAUGUUUAAAACGAAUCCAUGAAGGGAAGGUGGAUUGAGACUCCCACCAUUCAAACCACGUUAGAGCUUCCCCAUGAAGUGCAAGCACCGCGUACUCGAGUUUCUCUUCCACCUGAAUCCUCGAUAUGCGAAAAUAACGAUCCAUUCGAACCAACCACCCACUCGCAUCCGAGCCAUCAAAGGAAGGAAUGUCCACUCUGCGAUUGAGAUCACCCCUGUUUGGAGUUGGAUCUCGCUGACGUCCGCCACCCGAAUCGUUGAUGCGUGAGUUCCCACUGCUCGAAUCCUGUUGUGGAAUUCGCAUCACCAAUUCAUCCAUCCUUUUCGUCAUCGUUUCCAUUAUUCUGUUUUGUUCAGAUCGAAACUCAUUCAACUGUUUCUCCAGACUCUCAACCCGAUCCUCCAUCGCACCUCCGCUGCGUGUGGAAACCAUUCACAGGAAGAAGCCCAGAUCGAACUUCUGAUACCAAUUGUUAAGCCGGCGUCCACGGCGGCUUCACUCUAUCGACACUGACCCAAUGGUAGCCACUUUGCUAUGGUCUAUCAGUAUUCGGUAUUCACCUUAAUCCAGCCUAUAGGUAGCUCUUUCCAUGGCGCCGACAACCAUGCUCUGAUACCAUUGUUAUGGUUGCUCUAGUAUCCUUACUGUUAGGGCAGAAUUGAAUGUAGAAGAUAAGGGUAGAAGGAAAGAACAGAGUAACUGAACAGAGGAAGGAAUUAUCGAUGUGAUAAUUACCCCACUGACAGAAUAACUAUUAUAGAUUUAAAUGAAAGAAAAACAAGAAUAAUUGACUUUCGAGAGGUCAAUUCUCUCCUACUAGAUUUUCACUCCACUUAUUUCCUGCCUACUAGCUUUUCCAGUCUUCCUAUUUAUAAUAUCUACUCCUAUAACUACUGUCCUAAAGAUGUGGAGUUUCAAAAUUUAAAAUUCAGUUUGCUACUUUUUCUCCUCUCCUUUUAUAAGUAUACUUAAAAGGAGUUAAAUCCCUAUUAUCUCUCUGGUUUGUUGCAUAUACCUCUGCAUCACCAAUUACAUACUCAUACCUCCGCAUCACCAUAUUAUUAAACAUACCUCCGCAUCACCGCUUAACUAUAUAUACCUCCGCAUCACCAAUUAACUUUAAACCCUUCCUAGUUGUUAUAGUACUAAUGAUUUAAAAGCAAAACUUGGUGUUGAGGUAAUUUGGUCACAAUAAAAACUUGUACCAUCUCUCUUAAAAUUCUGUUAUUGUUUCCUAAGAAAAUGCAGAAAAACAGCAGCAAGUAGUAAGUUUGAUAAAUUCCUUAAAAAUCCAAUUUUUACCCAAUGCCUUUCAAAAUUCACGACCUCAAACAAGACUCUUUUAGCUUUCUAUUGAAUCAAAUUCCAGAUUAAUACCAUGUGAUAUGAAAAAGUUAUGAAGUGAGAAACACAGCCAUGCCUUUUAGAAUUCGAUUUCGAAAAUCCAGUGAGCUAUCUAUACUCUUUUCAACAUAUCUACUUGGUUAAAUAGGGUAUUGACAUGAAAUUUAAAAUGAAGAUUGUGGACACAGAAAGCUUGAAAAUGCCGUUGGUUUCAGCUCAAAUACUUACCAGAAUUGAAAGUUAAGUGAGUUGGAAGUUAGUGCUUCUGCAGUAAAGAAACAGAAUUUUCUGCAGAAACCAUCAAUCUUCAAAAAUUCAUUUCUCCCAAACCACUCAUCAAUAAAUUCUGAAUUUUUUGAGAUGCUCAAAACACAUUAAAGUUUCAUAGAAAAAUAGUUUCAUUCAAAAUUAUGACCUAGACUGCUCCCAGAAAUUGAUUCUUUCUACUGUCAUGUAUGCAGAAAUUCUGCCUUAAGCAUUUCCAACAACCUUACUUAUCAAAAACCACAUUUGAACUUAUAACCCUUCCAAAAUCACACGUUUAACCUCUUGUCAGUUAUUCGAAAUUGUCUUCAUUGCCAACACAGCCCAAGAACCCAGAAUCAACAAUUUACACGAUUUCAAGUACUUAAACAUCAUCAAACCUUUACUUUUCUACAUAAUGCCAAGCAUAAUUUUCCAUAUACACUCAUCAAUUCACACCAGCAAGCUCAGCAACAAAAGUAACACCAUUUAUCCUAUCUCUUACAACAUUCAGUACGCAAAAUCAUCAUAAACAGAUACUAGCAACAAGUAUAACUUCAAAAUACACACCAUCAUCAUUAAUAAUUACUACAUUAAAUCAUCAAAUCAAUCACCAACUACAGAUAUAAUUCAACUCAACUCCGUCAAUUAUUCACACAAAGCAACCAUAAACCAUUUGCAGUUACUCAGUUAAUUUUAGUAGCAUUCAUGAGUUAAAACCUUUACUUUUAAAACAAAUCUCUUACCUCAAUUGGUCGAACUUCGAAAUUAACCCAACAAACCCUCUUUUGUUUUGAAUCAGCAGCGGCGACACCCCAAUGCAGUCGGAACAACAGCGGCAGUAGCAUCAAUUGAAACAGCAGCAACGCCAAUCACCUAUGGUGGUGGCAGUAACAGCAGCUCCGAUGUAGAACCAAGGUAGCAGCAGUAGCUUGUCCUCUCCAACAGUGGUUCUCACAGCAGCGCCAUAAGCUCUAUUGGGUAAAGAAGAUAGGGUUCAGUCAUGGUGGAGUGAAGCAGUAAUUAGAAACGGCAACACCCACAACAGCAGCAGCCCCAGUGGCAUCUCUUUUCACUCUUGACAAUAACGAUGAUGGCAAUAGCAGCGUGGUCUUCCUCUUUUCCCACCAUGUGCAGCAGCGACACCAACCCCUCCUUUCCUCUCCGCGACAGCGACGGCGCCGGGAGCGAUGACACCUAGCCCCGACGGCGGCGAGCCUCCCCUCCCUUCCUUCUUCUCGGAUGCCCUCUGCUUUCUCUCAGAUCGCUCUCUCCCUUUC
rnacentral:lncRNA from 1 species